UACGUAGGGUGCGAGCGUUGUCCGGAAUUACUGGGCGUAAAGAGCUCGUAGGUGGUUUGUCGCGUUGUUCGUGAAAACUCACAGCUUAACUGUGGGCGUGCGGGCGAUACGGGCAGACUGGAGUACUGCAGGGGAGACUGGAAUUCCUGGUGUAGCGGUGGAAUGCGCAGAUAUCAGGAGGAACACCGGUGGCGAAGGCGGGUCUCUGGGCCGCAACUGACGCUGGAGGAGCGAAAGCAUGGGGAGCGAACAGG
rnacentral:rRNA from 1 species